UGUAAGCGUAUACCAAAGUUGUUGCAGUUAAAACGCUCGUAGUCGGAAUUUGGCAGUUCCGGAUGUGUGCACGUCGUGUGCGCACUUCGCGGGGAUUGCUUUUGUGGUCUUGCGUAGGAUGAGGCACUUUUAUUAGUGAACAUCCUCACGCAACCACUUUUUACUGUGAGAAAAUCAGAGUGCUCAAAGCAGGCAUUUGCCGUGAAUGUAUUAGCAUGGAAUAAUAGAAUAGGACUUGGUUCUAUUUUGUUGGUUUGUUGGGACUGAGUAAUGAUUAAGAGGGACAGUUGGGGGCAUUUGUAUUUCGGUGCUAGAGGUGAAAUUCUUAGAUUACCGAAAGACAAACUGCUGCGAAAGCGUCUGCCAAGGAUGUUUUCAUUGA
rnacentral:rRNA from 1 species